AAUGAACGCUGGUGGCAGACCUAACACAUGCAAGUCGAACGAUUUAUAAAAACUUCGGUUUUUAUAAAGAGUGGCAAACGGGUGAGUAAUGCAUGGGAAAUUGCCUUGAUGUGGGGGAUAACCAUUGGAAACGAUGGCUAAUACCGCAUGAUGCCUACGGGCCAAAGAGGGGGACCUUCGGGCCUCUCGCGUCAAGAUAUGCCUAGGUGGGAUUAGCUAGUUGGUGAGGUAAUGGCUCACCAAGGCGACGAUCCCUAGCUGGUCUGAGAGGAUGAUCAGCCACACUGGAACUGAGACACGGUCCAGACUCCUACGGGAGGCAGCAGUGGGGAAUAUUGCACAAUGGGCGCAAGCCUGAUGCAGCCAUGCCGCGUGUAUGAAGAAGGCCUUCGGGUUGUAAAGUACUUUCAGUCGUGAGGAAGGUGGUUGCGUUAAUAGCGUAA
rnacentral:rRNA from 1 species